rnacentral:rRNA from 1 species
AUACGGAGGGUGCAAGCGUUAAUCGGAAUUACUGGGCGUAAAGCGCUCGUAGGCGGUUUGUUAAGUCGGAUGUGAAAGCCCCGGGCUCAACCUGGGAACUGCAUUCGAUACUGGCAAACUAGAGUAUAGUAGAGGCAAGUGGAAUUCCGGGUGUAGCGGUGAAGUGCGUAGAUAUCCGGAGGAACAUCAGUGGCGAAGGCGACUUGCUGGACUAAUACUGACGCUGAGGAGCGAAAGCGUGGGGAGCAAACGGGAUUAGAAACCCCGGUAGUCC